UCAGCAACCGGAGUGUGAUGUCACCCAGAGAAAUCCAACUUCCGCAUCAGCCCCGGGAGGCCAUGAAGCACCUGGGCAAGCCUCAACCGUUGUGUGAUGUCACAUGGAGAAAUGCCUGCUCGUGGGCAAAGGCCAAGCUGGGUAGAUGAGGUCUGCAGGCAAGCAGAAGCCUGGCAUAUUGAGAUAGUGAAAUCAGGACUCCAUGGGUGAUCCCAGGCAGGAAUAGAAGGGCCCUGCCACCCAAUCCUACCACACUGUGACCCUGCCCAUGGCCCUAAAGCAAAGGGGAAGCCAGGCAUGGACUGGAGCCUCUAUAAAUACGGGAAGGGAUCAGACAGUUUGAGUGACCACAACAAACACCCCAGUACAUUAUUCUAACGGUUCAGAUAAAACAAUUCACAUCACUGAUACAGUCUAUGUCUGACACAAGAUUCAUAUGGCCGACUUCCUCAGAGUUGGGGCAAAUCUCUCCACCUCCUGCUCUAUCCCAGAGUCCCUGUCUUCCUGCUGGAUGUCCCACCUUCUAAUCCUGCCUCACCUGACUGGCCAUCAGCUUUUUAUUGACAGACGAUGCUUCCACACAGUGCACAAGAGAGUCUCUCUACAAGAAGUGCCACAGAAAGGCUGUGAAGUGUAGGGCACGUGGGUUAUAUUCAAAUGCCAGACUAUUUCACAUGAGGAGUUUGGAGGCUCCAGGGACUUCAGUAUUCUCUCUGGGACACCUCUGUUUCCUGUAGACACCAGAGAUCACUGUAUGUGAAUUGGUGAGUGUGUGGGUGAAUGAAUGAGUGAAUGAGACAGAAAGGAUCUUGCUGUGUAUAGGAACAUGGUGGAAACACAGGUCCACCCCUUGACAAGCACAGUGGUGAUUAUUUUAGGUAAGAGGCAUCAAUGGAAACAAACAUCUGUGGGAGGAAAUACAAUGUCAGAAUGUCAGUGUCUCCUCAUGAGACACUUAAUAUAGCAAGGGAAGGUGGUGACCUUGGAGUGGAAAGGCUUGGUGGACACCACCUGAACCAGGUGACCAGUUACCAUAGUGGUAAUCUGACACAUAUUCUCUUGCCUGGAGAAUCUGGGAUGGAUCAACAUAAACUCUGAUGUUCUAGCCAAAAAAGUGUCCAAAGUGGGCAGUCGUCAGCCAAACACAAAU